rnacentral:rRNA from 1 species
UACGAAGGGUGCAAGCGUUAAUCGGAAUUACUGGGCGUAAAGAGCGUGUAGGCGGCCUGGAAGGUCAGCUGUGAAAACUCGAGGCUCAACCUCGAGACGUCGGUUGAAACUACCUGGCUAGAGUCCGGAAGAGGAGUGUGGAAUUCCCGGUGUAGCGGUGGAAUGCGUAGAUAUCGGGAGGAACACCAGUGGCGAAGGCGAUCACCUGGGGUUGUUCUGACGCUGAGGAGCGAAAGCUAGGGGAGCAAACGGG